AGUGUUACGAGAAUUCAAUUCUUUCUUUUUAUUGCAGUUAUCGUAAAACGAAAUAAUUUUUUAUUCUUCUGGAUGUCCUUUGUAGAAUAGAUAUACUAUGAACAACUAUGCUCUCCCAAAAACCACGCUGUCCCCAGUCUGCAAAAACUCGUUGCCUAAUCGGUCCAGCCUAGGGACCUCUCCUCGUUAGUAUUCCAGCCGUGAGCUGGGAAGGGCGUGAAAAUUCCGCUCGGUGCUAUAGUCAUAGGGGAAAGUAGAUAACUUUCGAGCCGAGAGAGUCGCCAGUGAGGUUGCCGGCGAAUGAAGGCUGUUCUGUGUUUCGCGGCUGGCUGCAAUCGGCGAUAUCGGCGCGCCGGGCUCAUUGACGCAAUUUAUAGGAAAAGAUUGCCGAGGAAAAUGCCAGCCAUGCCCCCCACGCUCGCCACGCUCUGGAUACCCGUAGUUCUGUGUAUCAAACGGCGAACGAUAUGUAGGUCUCGAGACGUCCGAUGACCCGUUACUUGCCAGAUAACCAACCAGAUACGAAUACCCUCUGUGCAAGUCGGCUUGGAAAUCAGCUCGCGGUCUGCAUCAUCGACGCCGACCUAUGGCGCGAACUCCCCGCCACCGACCGAUAGGUUUGCGCUAAUUCGUCAUUCAUGGAUCAUCAGCUUCUCCGACACCACGUGUAAUAGCCGGAGAUAUCUAGGCACCCCGUUUCAAGAGCUGACCGAUAACGUAACGGUCGACAUGUAACUUCGACUUCUAAAUAUACACGGAGAAUCUGGGCUCGAUAAUAACGGUUCAAAGUAACAUGUAAUCCGUAUCUCGCGGCCUCCCUUCGCGUCUCCGUCGCGUUUUAUCCGUUACCGGACCAAAUUCCGACGAUAUCGCCGGCAAAAAGUGCGCGACGACGGGAGAACGCGGGCACGAAAUUACUUUCGUGGAACUCUAGCCCGAACGUGUCCCACGGUUCAAAGUACCUCGAGACGAUCCCUCUUGGCCGGGCAGAGCCACAUAUGCGAACGUGACGGUACGUUUCUCUUCCUGGUCGAGACGAGGGUUACAGCAGCCCCCACCUGAACAUUUUUAUGAUAGUUGGGUACAGUUUUCGACAUCAGCAAUUCGGGGAUUCCCGACACUCGAGAAUAAACUCAACCGAUGGUAAUCGUCGACCAGCAUUCCUUGAAAGUCGGAACUGCUAGAUUUUCUAAUUGCCUCGCUUUCCGCGUCGAUAAAUUCUUCCUCGGUGCGCGCAGGCGACAUUCUAAAUACCACCGGGACACCCCGUGAUUUAAAGGUACACGUCGACAACUCGAGCCACCCACGCCCCGUUUUCUACGCUGUCGGCUACUCGAGCGGUCUAUUCGAUCGAGAGAGGGGGAACGAAGCGUGCAAGAAUAAAAAAAGAAAAAGCGGGGAAAAAAUCAGAGACCAUAACGCGUUAUUAUUCGACGGGCAAGUCCAAUUACGAGCCUCGGCGUGCGUAUCCGUUCUGUGGUCGCGUGAGUACACGGAUGCACUUGGAAACCAAGCCGCGAGAUACUACCUUGGAUAACAACCUACGCGAGAAUCGAAAUACGGCAGACGUAUCUGGGGGAUAGUAGCCAGGAAACGACCCGGUGACCAGACACCAUUAAGCCCAGCCCACUCGAGAUCCGCCCCCGCAACGAGAUGCACCGCGUCAUCGAUGGUGAACCGUCACAUCCGCGGUUCACUUCCACCAGCGGAUUGGCGCUGUCUACUAGGAUGCUAAAACAACCACGACAUUGCUCAUCUUGUACGUGAUUUUAUGACAUUUUUUUUUAUGUGCCAUGUGUUUCUUGCGAUUUUUUUUUUGUGCAGUAUAUGAAAAUGAUACGAUAUUCUAAAUUUGUAUUUACAGAACUCCGACGCCAUUAAAUUUUCGAAGAACCUCAACGAGAACCGAAGGGGAACAUUGCCAUGGGACGCCAGUCUGUUUCAAUUAGAAGUUUCGACCUAUAAAAAGCGAGCGAAUUAGAUGAGUUCUGUGUACCGCCACCAGGAAAGUUCUGCAACAGUAGUCGUUGCCAUCUUUUUCUCUCGGUCGAUUAACUCACGGAAAAUGCCAGUUACUCUCCGUUGUUACAUCCCGUCUCCUUCUCUUCCUCACCUUUCCCUACCGUUCUCUCCUCCCCCCCCCUCUCUCUCUCUCUCUCAGCUCGCACCCCCACUUCGCGAGCCAUUCCCUGUCACCGACAAGCUCUUUUCUUGCUUCUCCGUUCGAUCGACCACGGGAGAGUAGGCGAAUGCAGCGGCUGGCAUGCCGCCUCGGGAGAACGAAAUGCAAUAAGAGGAGAACCCAUCCAGCUGCCGGCAUCGAGGAGAGGAAAGGAGUGCCCGGUUGGGGCUCAGGAGCGCGGGAGGAACGUGAAAGAGGACCCCGUCCCGCCCCCCGUCGCCCGAUCAAUUUCGAAUUUCUAAUUAGCGGACGCGAUAUUUGCUCUUGGUUCCUUUCCAGCGACUUCGACGACGCUGGAUCGUUCUUUUCCAACGGUAUGCGCCUCACUUUCUCUGAUAAAGAAGUGAUACCGGACGAUGCAACCUCGCCGAUAAACCAAACGGAAGAAAAUAACUUUUUCUGUGGGUAGAAGUAGCAGUUAUCCGGCGAACUCGAGCGAGAAACUUCAGCGUUAAUUGUAGUUUAUUAAACGAAAAAUGUUUCAGUCAUCGGUGAGCAUGCGGGCCUCCUCAGACGAGCGGAAAUACUAAUUCCGCGUUAGAAGAUAGUACGUUGGAUUAGCAAAAAUAUUGCUCGCGGAAUAUACGGGUAAUUACAACGUGACGCGUUGGUGACGAAUAAAAAUUACGUACAAAGGUUAGCCUUGGAGGGAAAGUUGCAUCGGUGAAGUUCUGUUCUCCGUUCGAGGACGAUUUUGAGCGCGAUGCGUUGCAUAUUAAACGGUGGAAAAAGGCGAGUCGAGCGAAUCGGCGCUCGAAAAAGAAGAAAAAGGGACUCUUUGAUCGCCGCCUGAUGCCGGUCAACAUUCCAAAAUCAGGUUUUGCCAGUUUGACAUUUCGAUGCCCGACCUCCUAAUUCUUGGUGCAAGAGUCAAGGCAUCCUGGUUCGUCGACCAGACGUCGAGACGUUGAAAUAAGAGAACGGAUUCGUCGGGAAUCGCUCAAGGACGGUUGAAGUCGUAAGAAGAAAAAAAAAAAAUUCGUAUACCUUUUUCUACCUCGCAUAGAGAAUUAUUGCGUAAGGUAAUAGGUAAUUCAAUGUAACACCAGUUGGCAAACCAGAGACGGUUGCGAAUAAUUAAAUAUCAAUUCCUGCGGACGAACGGCCAGGCAGAUUCAAAGAAACGAGUUUCUAUGUGACAGAACCUGGUUGCAAGAUAAGAACAAGGAAAAAAAAUAUAAAAGGCAUUAGAUUAACAUUUCUUGCGUUACUUUUAUUCCGUGUCCCAUACAGGUUCCGCAUAAAUUAACCCUCGUACGGUGUCGUGACCUUUCAUGCAAAUCGAUGAACGUUGGGGAAUAAAGAAUGAAACUGGUAUAAAGUGCGCGGAAAAUAUUAAUCUAUUUUAGCGUAAGAAAGAUAAAUCAUUGCUGAUCGUUAAAAAAAAAAAGAAAGAAAGAAAGAAAAAAAAACGUUUCUGUUAUUGGAAUAUAUAAAAUUUAUAUGGCAAGAAGAACCAGAAUGGCUGCGUUUGGAAAGCGUAAGAGAACCGAGAGUAAAAGUCGUAGGAGGGACCAUAAACGCGAUCCUUUUGCCACCAUGUUAAUCAGCAGUCCCUUCCACGCGUUCGAACUUAAUGAAUGAAUGAAUGAAUUACGUCACAGACAGAGAUGCGCUUAUACGUGCAUGUGGAAUCUCCGGCGCAAAAAUAGGCGCCCACAUCUCCCAAGGGAAAGGCAUAAUUAUAGUCGCCUUGGUAAAGAGAGCCGGCACACCAGGGUACUGGAGAAUGUAACGAGGAAAAGAGAAAGAGAGCGAGAAAACGAUCGCUCGCAGAUUAUACUUGCGUAGAAUGUUAACUAAUACCUUCGAGAGAUGCCAAACCCACCUGCGUGCAAACCUGGUACUACGGGGCUGAAUUGUUUUGCAAUAACCAGAAGGACCGUUACGCAUUCGCGGUGAAACAGCUCUCGGUUAAUAUCAGAAAUGCAACCCACGUUACGGGUUGCAUGGAAAAUUCGUGUCCGCAUGCGCGAUCGGCGCAAAUGGGUUAAAGGAGUUGGCGCCUCCAGUCCGGUGUGAAAAUGAUACCGCGAAUUUUCGCGACGGUGCAUCACCUUUCUAGAAUCGACUUUCGCCCGAUUCGCUGAAGUCGAAACUCACAUUCGGCCGGUUGCCCAUAUCCCGCUGCACCCACUGAAUUCCAGAAUCGAGCGAGCCCACUCGAGGAGGCGAAACGACGACGAUGCAUACAUUUUUUAUGAGCAUUAUAGACGCCCGCGUUCCAGCGUGCGCGAUUUUCCUGGAAGCUUUAACCGUGGAAUUUGCAUGACGAACGGAACGAACUCUGCUUCGUCUCAUCGAUGGAAAAAGAACCCGGGGCGGGGUUGCGUGCAAAUACCGCGAGAAAAAAAAAAAGAUCCAGACGUAAGACGAGCCAUGGGUGUCUUCGUGAAUGUGUCCCAGGGAUCAGGAUCGUACCUAACGCGCCCGCACGCCUUCGGCUCGGCGAGGGUCUCGAUGAAAUCAUAGGAAACACCUAACCGGGAGAAAGUUACAACCAGUUUCAGCCAAGGUAAGCGCAUCUAAUUUCGAUACUAACCUGGGACAUUGACACUUUCAUUUUUUUCUUUUUUUUAUCUAUGUGACUAUUGACAGGUUGGCGAAGGCUUCUUUAUUUUAAAUAAACUGUGAAGAUUUUUUAUUUAUCGGCGAGACCAUCGACGCCUCACGCCAAGGUAAAAGGGUUAAAUGUCACACGAGGCGAGAACUCUAAUCGAUGAUUGUAUAAAAGUGUAGAAACUCUUCGUUUGGAAUAAUAUGUAAAUUUAACGAGGAAGUUACAAAAGCACCCGUUCAACGAAGCAACAAAAAAAAAAAAAAGGAAUCAUUGCAGACGCAUACUUUGCUUUCCAUCGUUUCAACGUAUGUAGUUGAAAGUAGGACUUCGCUCGGCCUUCGUCGUUGUAUUACGGAGUCGAUGAAGAUUCUUAAUAGGUCUGAUAGACACGUCCAACGAUUUCUAACUCGAUACUCUUAGGUGGAAUACGCUUUUGCUACCGACCAAAGGCUCGUUUCCAAGGAAUUGCGAACGAUCGCACGACGGAAUACGCAAUGCUUUUUCGACCGAUAAUUAACCGUAAGCGCGGUAAUACGUUUGUUUGUGCGAUUAACCGUUUAUCACGUUGCUAAAUAACAGAGAAAAUACAAGAAUUUAUUUACAAAAUUUGAUCCAGGAUUAAAACAAUAUUUUAUAGAGCAAAUCUAAUUUAUAUAGCAAAAACGACUAAAGGCUACAGAUCUUUAUAUGAACAUUUAAUGAAGUAUCACAAUUAAAAUUGUACAGCCAUCAAGAGCUAAUUGAAAUCCGUAAUCUAAAAUACAGUAAAUUCCAAAAUUUACAUCGCGAUUAUCUAUUAUUUUAAAUCCCACGUUAUCAGUCUCUAUAACACAGGAGUCGUAAAGGUUUCAGCGAAACCUCGUUACACGCAUCGCGUUGAAAACCGAGGAGCGUUAAAAUGCAGGUCUGAUUCCGUGGUCGAGCCUGGAUUACGAGAAAUUCCGAGAUCGUUCUUUCCGUACCGGGAAUCCCCCGUCCGAGUGUCAGCGCUCGCGGUUCAACUUAACACAGUACUUAUCGGCGUUUACGUAAUUAAAGGCGCUAAGCAACUGCAGUUGGCGCCACACCUGACGCGCUCGCGAGUACAGAUAACAUCGUCGGAUCAAAGAGUGUAAAGCGGCGCGGGAACGGCAGGAAAAAUGAAGCGAUACACAGACGGUCAUUAUCGCUGUCACGUCCACGGAAUCGUCACGCGUAACAUCCGACAACAAAAUUGCGCCAGGAAUGCACGAGGUAUUUUCCGCAUGUAUUAUGCAAAUAUUGGUACUCCGGUGCGAUAUUUCACGACACGAAAUACCCGUCAACGUGAUGCGCCGCACGAGUGAUAUUUCAAUCAACUUACGACGAGCGAUUCCCUCACAACCUUCCGACGAAAUUUUGACGUUUCCACAACAGUAGAGGCUGUUUAUAGUUUACGAAUGGAUGGAAAUUUUAUUUAGUUCCGGAUGUUCGGAGUAAUUAAAUUUUAUGUUGAUAAUUUACACGAAGACUUUGGACUUGGAGAAUCUAAAUAAAAUUUCCAUUCGUCAGUUAAGUAUUUUUUUUAUGGCGUUUUUACUUUGUAAAUAAAGCUUUGUUCUUGCCAAGGACUGAGAACGAAUAAAAAGAAUUUCAUGGAUUGUAUAACAAAUAGAAAGAAGUACGCGUAAAUGGAUAAACGAUGGGUGAAAGUGAUUAGACCAAAUGGAAUGCGGAAAACUAAUUCCAAGUACAAAAGGUACUCUGAUGAAACAAGAGAAGGUCUCUUCUACCAGGGAUGUUUCCGUUUAGCAACAUUCUUCUGCCACUGGUUACAAAUUAUAACCAAUUAUUACUCUCCCGUGCAAAGUAUGGUUUUUGCUCGGCUAGUUAAGUCUUUACAGCGCCAAAGAUUUAAGUGGUUUCAAGAUCCUUUGUGCAAAGGGAGGGUCCUCGACGAUGCAAACGAUGAAACACAUUAAUCUAUACUCCCAAGUAAUCGAUUAAAUCGCUUUAUUUAUAUGUAAUAACACGAUUAAGAUCAAAUCAUUACUAUAAAAAUACUUAAUUUGAUUUUAUGGUAGAUUACUAUAUCUUUUGGCCCAGUGUUCUCCUAUUAUAGAACGAAAAUCAAACAGUUUUCCUAGUCCUGCUGACACAUUUUAAAAAUGAAGUGAAACAAGAGGGAAGUGAAGGAAAUGGUCGAUUCGAAGGGAGGAUGCCAAAGGGGCACGGUGCCCGCGUAACACGGUACUGAGUAUCCCUCACCACGGCGAACGCGACUGCGGCGCGAAUGGCAAAAAGGCUUAACCGCAUUCCGGCGACCAUUUAAACCGCCGCGGCGGGGUCCCACGCUUGACCGCAACCAGCGACCGACCGACCGGCCGGCCGGCUAUCGAUUGACGUCACUUGGUACCGCAUGACCUUCGAGUUCCCGCGCGACUAACUGCGCAUGCUCAGACGAUCCUGCUCCGGCAUGCACCUGCACACGGAUCGUGGAUCCGCAGAGGCGUCCGUUAAAAUGCGUGGCGAAACGGCACAAUUUUCCUCGACCAGACGCUACUGUACGGCCCAAGCGAAUUAUGCGACUCGCGCCAAAUCACUUCUCCCCGGAAUCCCUAUAGUUAGACCCAGCGAACGAGGCAUGCGACGGAAAAUCUACCAACACCAGGAGGAUGCGCGACGUGCCCUGAAAAUGCUCGCGGAACGGCUGGAAACCUAAUCGCGAGCUGCGCGGAUGAGACAAUCUAACGACCACUCCAAGAAUGUCAAUGUGACGCAUGGAUUUUUCAUGCGAGUGGUCGUGCUAAAUGGUUUCUGCGUUCCUGUUUAUAACAUCGAUAGGGAAUGAAAUAAAAAUAAUUGAUACUUCUCUGUUCGCAAGAAACAAAAGGAGAAAAAUUUGAGUUGUUUUUUUUUUGUCUACAGUACCGAUUAAUAUUUCAGUUAAGUGACUCAAGAAAAUAAUGAAGAAUUUAUGAGCCACACAAUAGUAUGUUGAAACCCGACUCUUAACAAACGUUUCGAGCCGUCGUUUCGCUCUCGACUGACUUUUUAAAUAAAAAAAAAUUUGUUUAACCUUGACACGUAUUCAAUACAUGCGACUUUUUAACGGUUGCCAUCGAUGCAAUAAUAAUCUAUCAAGUCGCGUCUUCUCUGAUAGCAAUCAUUCUUGUCAUUGAAAGCAAACGAACGUUGCGUACAUAGCAAUUAAAGUGCAUUUACGUUCUAUGCCCAGCGUACGUCGCGUAUAGUCUUCGGUGUUAUUACGUUAAAGAUACAGAGUUUCUAUCCAAGGGAAUCUAUUGUAUCCGAAGAAAUAUCGUAAGUAUUCACGAGGUCUGGCAACACGAAUACUGAGAUUACCUUCGAAAGGGCACCUCCCCUUCCAUUCAAAAGGAUUCUAUACAUUCCAUCGAGUUGUUCGCUGUCAAUUGUCUCUUUAUUGCAUCAAGCGUGUCUUCUUCUACGAGAAUUUUCUAUCGAUUUCAGAAGCAGCACCGUGUUCAUCGUGUUGUUCGUACAAAACUACUCGAAUUGAAUAGAAAUUUUGCAUCGUGUUAACACAAAUCAAUUCAAUUCUACACUGAGAAUUUAAAUCUGAGAAACACUAAGGUGUAAAAUAGGUACCGUUUAAAAAAUUACGCCCACGCAACAAGCAAUUCUCUGUUCGCAAGAAAGGAUUCACCUUUGAAAAUGUGAAAAUUAUGCGGCGCGAAGUACAAAAGGAUCGGGCGCUUCCCCUUUUGUUCUUGUACCUGCGCAGAAAACAGGGGAAGGAAGAUUUUUUGUCGGCGCGGCUAACUAUAUGCUUGCGCGACUGCCGCUUACCGAAUUGCCUGAGCAAACUACAAAAGCAUUAUUGUUCCGUGCAAUCCGCGCGUUUCGUUUCGCCAAGGGUGGAGAGUCUUGAAUCCGCGACGCCGAAAAAUUUCUCACGACUCCUUUCUUUUUUCUUCGCGGGAAGGAUACCGUUGACCCGGAGGGGGGAAACGUUAGUGUACCAACCUCCGAACUUGUUUAAAACGAGUUUCACGAUUGUGUCGUAUUCAGCCGCGCCUCGACCAAUCACGAGCGACCGCGACGCGAUUAGCAUACUCAUGCGGGUACCCAAAUUCGGCGAAGUGCACUCCGUAGUGCCGUCAAUUGCACUCGAUUAAGAGGAUCCUUAGUUCGACCUUGCCGGCUCCAUUGAGAGGGCACGAAAGAACGAGGCGAUGACUAAACUUAUCGAUGCCACGGCGGAUGUGGGAGCAAACGUUUCCGAUCGGGAUAAAAGGAACGUUUAACCUUCGACGUUUAACCCUGUCCACAGUCAGCGGGUCUCACUUACCUUUUAAAGACACCAGGUAUAUUAAAAAAAAAAAACUACCUACUUUUUUAGGUGUCAAGUAAUACUUUUAUUCGACGUUUUUCCGAAAGAUGUUCUCUGAACAGGAGGGGAGAAAUUCGGAGCCCAGAAUUAUUUAUUUAGUUGAAUUAAUUCGAAAGUUGCAUUUUUCAUUGGAUAUAGAAAUUAUUUAAAGAACUGGACAAAAUAAAUGUCUCGAAGAAGAAAUUUAAAUUUUCAUUUGAACUACUGCGAAUAAGUAUACAUAAUAAUAUCGUUAUAUAGAUUAGAAUUUUAGUUUAUGCAAAUCAAUUCGUUCCUGAAUAGAUAAAAAUUAUGCACUAAAAUAUACAUUGUCCAGUCCAUCGAUGUAUCAAUAAAAGAAAAUGUUUAGGUCAUUCUGCAUUUGAAAUUGUCAUUCACGCUAUCCACUGCGAGACGAAGGCUAAGACAACAUAUGAAACGCUAUUUCAAAGUCUGGAAUGCAUCACCGAUUCUAACACAAAUUUCGUUUCCAUCUGCGAACGUUCUCCAAAAUUUGUGUCAAGAAAACACUAAAAAGAAUUGUUUAUUCCUUCUAUAGGCAUCCGCCCCAUCUUUUACUCGAGUACUUAACCGUUAAAUUAAACAUUGCCUUUGCUAGUUUACGUGAAAAGAAAGAGAACUUUGAUCCUCGAGGCAACAAACAAUCUACCAGCCUCUAUCCAGAAGUAACGCGUA